rnacentral:rRNA from 1 species
UACGUAGGGUGCGAGCGUUAAUCGGAAUUACUGGGCGUAAAGCGUGCGCAGGCGGUUCGUUGUGUCGGCGGUGAAAGCCCGGGCUUAACCUGGGAAUGGCCGUUGAAACUGGCGAACUGGAGUGUGGCAGAGGGGGUGGAAUUCCCGGUGGUAGCGGUGAAAUGCGUAGAGAUCGGGAGGAACAUCAGUGGCGAAGGCGGCCAUCUGGGACAACACUGACGCUGAAGCACGAAAGCGUGGGAGCAAACAGG